ACGCGUAGGUAACCUGCCUGGUAGCGGGGGAUAACUAUUGGAAACGAUAGCUAAUACCGCAUAAGAGUGGAUGUUGCAUGACAUUUGCUUAAAAGGUGCACUUGCAUCACUACCAGAUGGACCUGCGUUGUAUUAGCUAGUUGGUGGGGUAACGGCUCACCAAGGCGACGAUACAUAGCCGACCUGAGAGGGUGAUCGGCCACACUGGGACUGAGACACGGCCCAGACUCCUACGGGAGGCAGCAGUAGGGAAUCUUCGGCAAUGGACGGAAGUCUGACCGAGCAACGCCGCGUGAGUGAAGAAGGUUUUCGGAUCGUAAAGCUCUGUUGUAAGAGAAGAACGAGUGUGAGAGUGGAAAGUUCACACUGUGACGGUAUCUUACCAGAAAGGGACGGCUAACUACGUGCCAGCAGCCGCGGUAAUACGUAGGUCCCGAGCGUUGUCCGGAUUUAUUGGGCGUAAAGCGAGCGCAGGCGGUUAGAUAAGUCUGAAGUUAAAGGCUGUGGCUUAACCAUAGUAGGCUUUGGAAACUGUUUAACUUGAGUGCAAGAGGGGAGAGUGGAAUUCCAUGUGUAGCGGUGAAAUGCGUAGAUAUAUGGAGGAACACCGGUGGCGAAAGCGGCUCUCUGGCUUGUAACUGACGCUGAGGCUC
rnacentral:rRNA from 1 species